rnacentral:rRNA from 1 species
AUUACCUCAGUAACGGCGAGUGAAGCGGUAACAGCUCAAAUUUGAAAUCUGGCUCUCGGGCCCGAGUUGUAAUUUGUAGAAGAUGCUUUGGGUGUGGCUCCGGUCUAAGUUCCUUGGAACAGGACGUCAUAGAGGGUGAGAAUCCCGUACGUGACUGGUGGCCUUCGCUCGUGUAAAGCUCUUUCGACGAGUCGAGUUGUUUGGGAAUGCAGCUCAAAAUGGGKGGUAUAUUUCAUCUAAAGCUAAAUAUUGGCCAGAGACCGAUAGCGCACAAGUAGAGUGAUCGAAAGAUGAAAAGCACUUUGGAAAGAGAGUUAAACAGUACGUGAAAUUGUUGAAAGGGAAGCGCUUGCAACCAGACUUGCAGGCUGUUGAUCAUCCGGGGUUCUCCCCGGUGCACUCGGCAGUUUUCAGGCCAGCAUCGGUUUGGGUGGUGGGAUAAAGGCCUUGGGAAUGUGGCUCUCUUCGGGGAGUGUUAUAGCCCAAGGUGCAAUGCCGCCUACCUGGACCGAGGACCGCGCUUCGGCUAGGAUGCUGGCGUAAUGGUUGUAAGCGACCCGUCUUGAAACACGGACCAAGGAGUCUAACAUCUAUGCGAGUGUUUGGGUGUUAAACCCAUACGCGUAAUUAACGUGAACGGAGGUAAGAACCCUUAAGGGUGCAUUAUCGACCGAUCCUGAUGUCUUCGGAUGGAUUUGAGUAAGAGCAUAGCUGUUGGGACCCGAAAGAUGGUGAACUAUGCCUGAAUAGGGUGAAGCCAGAGGAAACUCUGGUGGAGGCUCGCAGCGGUUCUGACGUGCAAAUCGAUCGUCAAAUUUGGGUAUAGGGGGCGAAAGACUAAUCGAACCAUCUAGUAGCUGGUUCCUGCCGA